GUGGGACCUCAGGUGA
rnacentral:rRNA from 1 species